UGCUGUGUGCUAUUAUAGUAGCUUCUCCACUCUCCACUGCAAGUCCAAUGCAUGCAAUCACUUAAGCAUACUUCUUCCGCAUUUAGCUUCACCUUAUCAGUCCAGGGAUUCAUUAGGUGAAGAUUUCCUUCUAAAUUACAUGGAACACAAGUAGCCAAUAGAAAAGACCUGUAUAACAAAACCUCAGAUAAAAAAAUUUGUGUUUGGAAAUAAGAAAAAUAUUCUUCUAAGAUGAAAUAUAACUACUUGUCCUUCAAUUGUAGUGAACUAAUACUGCAAUGUACCUAAAAUUACAAAGCCCCAUCUGACAUUUCCCAACCAAGUAAUGCUACAGUACUUUAAUUAAUGCAUAUUGGGAGGAUAGUUGAAGAGUGAAACUAGUGUAGUGAUAAAAUAAAAAGUCUUUUAUAGAUACAAUGAAAUUGAUGCAAAAUAGGACGAAGAGGUAAUAAGAGAAUAAUGAUCUUAGAAUAUUGUGAUGGCAGUUUGCAGCCACUAAUUCGCAGAAUGCAGCAGGUUUAGUUCAAGGUCUUGUUAUGGACAUGUGAACUCAACUAGUAUGGGAUGGUCAUGUUUUUUUUGACAUUCAAUUCAAUAACUAGUGUAUUAAUGAAACGCUGAUUCUUGAAGGCAAAUUCUUUUUACUUUGAGUAUAGUUUUACCGAAUCCUUUUUCUUUAAUUUAAACCAAGCACUCAACGGCUUUGAAACCAUUGUAUGUUAGCCUUCAAAAACUAAAUCCCACAUUGAAAAUAUUUCUUAUAGAGUCAUGGAAAAUAGACUACAAAUAUAAGAUUUGUCACCCUGAGUUCCAUACUUACCUGGACGGGGUCAAUGGAUGAUCUAUAAGGUCCAUGGCCUAGGGAAGUGACCUUCAUUGCACUCAGAAGGGGUGCUACUCUAAGGUCUGUCCAAGUGAUGGAGCCUACGUCAUAAUUUGUGGUAGUGGGGGCCUGCGUUCGCGCGGCCCCUUACAUUUUAGUCAAUUGUUGUUUGACUUUUGUAUUUCAUUGUCAUCUGUAUAUAUCUUCCAAAUGGGAUUUCUAUUAGCCAUAUAAUGAGAUAUCAUUGUGUUUAUGUUAAAGUUUGUAUAACAUCUGUCUUUUAAAACUACACUGUCUGCAUUAACUCCAUGGAGAACAAUUACUUAUGCAUACUUCUUCCUAGACAACAGAAAAAAAAAAUUAAAAAAUCUCAAAACCUAUAAUGUUCUUAAUUUAUUCUGUUAUGAAAAAAUUUACUUUAUAUUGUAAUUCCUUCUGUUCUGUAAUUCUG
rnacentral:lncRNA from 1 species